rnacentral:rRNA from 1 species
AUUGAACGCUGGCGGCAUGCCUUACACAUGCAAGUCGAACGUGAAAGGGGGGCAACCCCCGAGUAGAGUGGCGGACGGGUGAGUAACACAUCGGAACGUACCCAGUAGUGGGGGACAACCUCGAGAAAUCGAGGCUAAUACCGCAUACGACCCACGGGUGAAAGCGGGGGACCGCAAGGCCUCGCGCUAUUGGAGCGGCCGAUGUCCGAUUAGCUUGUUGGCGGGGUAAGAGCCCACCAAGGCGACGAUCGGUAGCUGGUCUGAGAGGAUGAUCAGCCACACUGGGACUGAGACACGGCCCAGACUCCUACGGGAGGCAGCAGGUGGGGAAUUUUGGACAAUGGGGGCAACCCUGAUCCAGCCAUGCCGCGUGCGGGAAGAAGGCCU